rnacentral:rRNA from 1 species
UAAUACGUAGGGUGCAAGCGUUGUCCGGAAUUAUUGGGCGUAAAGAGCUCGUAGGCGGUUCGUCGCGUCGGCUGUGAAAACCUGAGGCUCAACCUCAGGCCUGCAGUCGAUACGGGCGGACUUGAGUACUGCAGGGGAGACUGGAAUUCCUGGUGUAGCGGUGAAAUGCGCAGAUAUCAGGAGGAACACCGGUGGCGAAGGCGGGUCUCUGGGCAGUAACUGACGCUGAGGAGCGAAAGCGUGGGGAGCGAACAGGAUUAGAUACCCUGGUAGUCCACGCCGUAAACGUUGGGCGCUAGGUGUGGGGCUCAUUCCACGAGUUCCGUGCCGCAGCUAACGCAUUAAGCGCCCCGCCUGGGGAGUACGGCCGCAAGGCUA